rnacentral:rRNA from 1 species
UAGGGAGGGGGCUAGCGUUGUUCGGACUUACUGGGCGUAAAGCGCGCGUCGGCGGACCUGCAAGUCGGGGGUGAAAGCCCGAGGCUCAACCUCGGAACUGCCUUCGAUACUGCGGGUCUCGAGUCCGGAAGAGGUGAGUGGAAUUCCUAGUGUAGAGGUGAAAUUCGUAGAUAUUAGGAAGAACACCAGUGGCGAAGGCGGCUCACUGGCCCGGUACUGACGCUGAUGUGCGAAAGCGUGGGGAGCAAAUAGG